rnacentral:rRNA from 1 species
ACCUAGUARUACGGAAUAAUUGUUGGAAACGGCAACUAAUACCGUAUACGCCCUACGGGGGAAAAAUUUAUUGCUAUUAGAUGAGCCUAUAUUWKAUUAGCUAGUUGGUGGAGUAAUAGCCUACCAAGGCAAUGAUCUAUAGCUGAUCUGAGAGGAUGAUCAGCCACMCUGGAACUGAGAUACGGUCCAGACUCCUACGGGAGGCAGCAGUGGGGAAUAUUGGACAAUGGGCGAAAGCCUGAUCCAGCCAUGCCGCAUGAGUGAAGAAGGCCUUUGGGUUGUAAAGCUC